AGCUCCAAUAGCGUAUAUUAAAGUUGUUGCAGUUAAAAAGCUCGUAGUCGAAUUUCGGACAAGAUGCUAUAGUCUACCUUUUAGGUUAGACUAGUGUGUCGAGUCUUUUUUUCUAGAUUUUCUGUUAGCCUUCGCGGGUGUGCAGAAGUAUCUAGGACUUUUACUUUGAAGAAAUUAGAGUGUUUAAGGCAGGCUUGUGCUUGAAUACAUUAGCAUGGAAUAAUAAAAUAGGACUUUGGUUUUAUUUUGUUGGUUUUAAAAACUAGAGUAAUGAUUAAUAGGGAUAGUCGGGGGCGUUGGUAUUCAGUAGUCAGAGGUGAAAUUCUUGGAUUUACUGAAGACUAACUAGUGCGAAAGCAUUCGCCAAGGAUGUUUUCA
rnacentral:rRNA from 1 species